ensembl:misc_RNA
UUGACAGCCAUGGAGAUUGUGGAGAUCGGAAUUUUAUUUAUCCCUAGAGAAAGUGCAGUGCAGACUGCAGUAGUGCAAAAAUUUCCUGUAUUAUUUUGCUGUUACACCCUACCUGUGCCCUUCACAGGCAGCCUCUUGGGGUGAGGAGCUCCUUUCUCUGCAGCCCUUCAGAGAGCUGGCUGAC